UACAGUAUAUGGCUACCUUUAUUUACAUGUAUCAAGUGUAUGUUGGUUGGUGACUGUUCUUUGAAAAGUUUAAGGCAAAGACUACAGAUAGAUAUGGUGUGUAUAAAAGUUGUGCCGUUGUCACCAAUAAAGACGACCCUGACUAACACUGGCACGCUCUGCUGGUCACAUCGAAAGUACACCGUAAAAAUUAAACAAAUGUCCUUCUCUCUCUACAUUUGACAUUAACCAUGAACACACAAAAGAGACCAUCUGUAACCAGAUGGCUGUAGGGUUCAAAUCAAAUGUCAUGUCACAUGCUUUUGUAAACAAUACGUGUAGACCGACAGUGAAAUGCUUACUUAAAUCUACCCCUGUUAGUUAUGAAGCAUGUGACAUUAUGUUCAAGUUAAACUUUUGUAUAAAUACUAAAUAUUUCAGUGUAAUUAUACAGUAGGCUGAUUGAUGGUGACAAGUGACAAUUAGCGUUUUCAAAGUUCUAUAUCUUGAAAACUGGAUUGCUGCACUGCAAAACAUUUUUUGGGGGGCUGUAUCAACAGUGGACGAAUGAAACAAAUAUACACAAAAAUAUCAUUUUGGGAGUGGAAUUGACCUUCAAGUCAAAGUUGCUGAAUUAAAAAGGUGAUCAUCCCUGUAAAAUGUCUAUUCCCGACGCGCUUCAUAUCGUCAGCUCACUCUCAAUAUCACGUUAGAGGAUGAGGCAUCUCUAUCAUGUACAGUAUGCGUUCUCUAUGCCCAUUGGACAGACUGAAAAGCGGACCUGAGACCUCCCUCAGUGUUCCGACGCAGCAUUAAGAACAGACAGAAUAUACAUCUAGAUGCUGAUCCACACAUUAUACCGGUCUGUCAGCUGGACAAUGGCUUCACCAUGAGCAGGUCUGAUCACCUUUCAGUUUAGAGACAAGGGCAGCAGGUCUGAUCACCUUUCAGUUUAGAGACAAGGGCAGCAGGUCUGAUCACCUUUCAGUUUAGAGACAAGGGCAGCAGGUCUGAUCACCUUUCAGUUUAGAGACCAGGGCAGCAGGUCUGAUCACCUUUCAGUUUAGAGACCAGGGCAGCAGGUCAGAUCACCUUUCAGUUUAGAGACAAGGGCAGCAGGUCUGAUCACCUUUCAGUUUAGAGACCAGGGCAGCAGGUCUGAUCACCUUUCAGUUUAGAGACCAGGGCAGCAGGUCUGAUCAUAUAAAUAGAACACGGUCGACUUGAAAUGUCUGUUCUAGAUAUUUUAUUUGAAUUAGUGUGAUUCUGUUUUACUGUACCGCUCUGCCUUACCAGCAGUCUUCUACCUAUAGCGGACAUUCUGCUGGUUAAAUGAACAGCUGAACGAAAACAGAUAAACACUUGAGAUACAGAGAGAGAGAGAGAGACAGAGAGAGAGAGAGACAGAGAGAGAGAGAGAGACAGAGAGAGAGAGAGAGAGAGAGAGAGAAAAGAUACAGGUUUCACCUUAGUGCACAGGAGCAGUAACAAUGUCACCAACCAACACCAUAAAAAUGGAAUAUCUUUAAACUAACAAACUCUUUGUCCUUGAGACUUCAGUAUAUUCAAAAUGAAACUACCAAAAGAUCUGAACAACAAAAAAUCAUUCAAAUGACUACAUACUAAUACAGUAUAGUGUUUUAAAUUACUCUGUACAUCUUGGAACGGUCCCCAAAAAAGCUACUUAUUUCCUAUACAGUGCACUACAUUCAUCAGGGCCCAUACGACUCUACUUUUGCUCAAAGGUAGUGCACUAUAUAGGGAAUAGGUUGUUAUUUGGGACGUAAGCACUAAGUCACGUGACUGGGCGGAAGGGAGAUACUGUACAAGAAAAACAUUACUUCAAAUGAAUACACACUUUUUUUUUUUUUUUUUUUUUUUUUUUUAACACAGAACCCCCUACACACACACACGAGUAGAGUACAGUGUUUGGAGGACGACAACAAUCUCCCAGUUCACAAUCAGACCCUUUCUCAUUUUCAUAUAGAGAACAAAUGAGACCACCAUGUGUGGGAGGUUAUGUGGGGGCAGGGCAUAUCAGGGAAGCACCUCCCACCCCCGCAUCCCUGAUAAGCCCGCCCCCGCAUCCCUGAUAAGCCCGCCC
ensembl:lncRNA